UAUUUUGUACAUUCCUACAACAUUAAUACAUCAGAUAUUGUUAGAAUUCCAUAGUUAAGUGCACUUGGGAUAGAGUAGUACUGGGAUGGGUGACCUCCCAGGAAGUCCUUGUGUCAUAU
rnacentral:rRNA from 1 species